rnacentral:rRNA from 1 species
AACGAACGCUGGCGGCAUUCCUAACACAUGCAAGUCGAACGAAGCCUUCGGGCUUAGUGGCGCACGGGUGCGUAACGCGUGGGAACCUGCCCCUUGGUUCGGAAUAACAGUUAGAAAUGACUGCUAAUACCGGAUGAUGACGAAAGUCCAAAGAUUUAUCGCCGAGGGAUGGGCCCGCGUAGGAUUAGCUAGUUGGUGAGGUAAUGGCUCACCAAGGCGACGAUCCUUAGCUGGUCUGAGAGGAUGAUCAGCCACACUGGGACUGAGACACGGCCCAGACUCCUACGGGAGGCAGCAGUGGGGAAUAUUGGACAAUGGGCGAAAGCCUGAUCCAGCAAUGCCGCGUGAGUGAUGAAGGCCUUAGGGUUGUAAAGCUCUUUUACCAGGGAUGAUAAUGACAGUACCUGGAGAAUAAGACUCCGGCUAACUCCGUGCCAGCAGCCGCGGUAA